UUACAAUCAAGAGAUGGCGUUAAUUCGAUCCGAAAGAUUAACAUGGCCGUGAAACGUCUAUGAGUAUGUAUGGUUUGUGGUAUUUAUCUAAACAAUCAUCCUACAAGAUUCUUUCAAAAAUUUUCAUUCAACUCAAUUACACAUCAGUGCUUUCACGUGACACAUGGCAGUAGUGUUUAUAUCAUUUUGAAAACAAAUUGGAACAUUUGAAGUUUUCAGUAAAACAUUGAAUUGUC